GAGGAGCUUGGGUGUCUCUUUUUUCUUGCUGGUUUCUAGACCUUGGUUGCUUCAUAAUCAAGGGAAGAAGAGCAAGAGAAGAAGAGAAGAAAAAGAUCAAAGAAAGGGUCAAAGAGUUGAUUGCGAUCUAAGCUUUGCUUAGAUUCACAGGGUUAUUGUUUUUGAAGAAGAAAGAUCAACACCAAAAAGGGCUAUUCCAGGCUGAUUCUGAGUGAAUACCCAU
rnacentral:lncRNA from 1 species